CGCUGUCCCCGUCCCCCCCGUCCCCGUCUCCCAAUAAACGCCGGUGUCCGGUGGAAGGAGGGGGGGGGGGCUGCGGCCCCCGGCGUCGCCUUUAAUUCCCGCCGCGUCGCCGGGGCAGAAACGGCCCCGGAGAGACCCCCGGGACCCGCCGCCGGGAUUUGGGGCCGGGAACAAGUCCAGAGCCAUCAUUUGGGGUCAGGAGCCGGGAUUCGGGGCCGGGAAUUGGGAUUCAGGGCCAGGAACAAGUCCGGAGCCACCGUUCAGGGUCAGGAGCCGGGAUUUGGGGCCAGGAACUGGGAUUUGGGGACCAGGAGCCAGGAUUCGGGGCCGGGAACUGGGAUUUGGGGACUGGAGCGAGUCCGGAGUCACCAUUCGGGGUUGGGAGCCGGGAUUCGGCGACCAAAGCGAGCCAAGAGCUGGGAUUUGGGGACCGGAGCGAACCUGGAGCCACCGUUCGGGGCCAGGAGCUGGGAUUCGGGGCUGGGAAUGAGUCCGGAGUCACCGUUUGGGGUUGGGAGCCGGGAUCGGGGCACAGGAUGGAGCCCAGAGCUGGGAUUUGGGGCCGGGAACUGGGAUUUGGGGACCGGAGCGAGUCCGGAGUCACCGUUCAGGGUUGGGAUCUGGGAUUCGGGGCUGGGAACUGGGAUUCAGGGACCGGAGCGAGUCCGGAGUCACCGUUCGGGGCUGGGAUUCAGGGCCGGGAACUGGGAUUUGGGGACUGGAGCAAGCCCAGAGCCGCCGUUCGGGGCCGGGAUUUGGGAAUC
rnacentral:lncRNA from 1 species